rnacentral:lncRNA from 1 species
UUGAGCACUCAAGUGUAAACCUUAGAUGGUGAAACAAAUAAAAACGAUCCUUCUAACAAACCUAUCUUCUUCAGAGCAGGCACGGACCUCUCAGGGAGUGCACUCUUGAUCCCACAUAAGGAGGAGCUGUUUGGACAAUGUGGAGACUUCAGAAAAGCCUGUGUAGAAGCUGUUCCAGCCACAGCAAUGUGACAGCGUUUCAGGCAAUUUUAUUGAUCAAGGAAUUCAAACAUUAACCAGCAGCACAAACCAAGACACUUCUCCAUUCCUUCUUGCUUCCUCUCCCCACCAAAUUUCCUUCCUGAUCCUGCUCUUUCCUAGGACUUUGGAGAGGACUGAGAUUACUCAAAGUGCCACGAGACACCAGCCAUUGAUCUUACACAGGCUGCAACCCAGCUCAUAUUAGUAUUUAUAUUAAAAUUAUCUAACAAAUAAAACUAAUAAAAGGAAGAAUGUAUUAAAUAUC